rnacentral:rRNA from 1 species
CCUGAGUGACUGCGGAGGAUCAUUACUGAAAACCAUUUUGAAACGGGUUGUCAAACAAGCUGGCUCCUUCACCUGUUACAAAAGUAUCCGAGGUCUGUCCUAGGAAAUCAUGUACCCACAGUGUUGUUGACCACCGUAGCGGAUACUAGGCGAAGGGGCAUGUGCACGCCCUGCUCAUUCCACUUUCAUACCCCUGUGCACAUAUAGUAGGCUAUGGUCGGAUGGCUGACUUCACGGUCGGUUGGAAAGCCUUGUCCUAUGUCUUCACACAAACGCUUCAGUUUAAAGAAUGUCUUGCUGCGCUUGGCGCAACGAAAAUAUACAACUUUCAGCAACGGAUCUCUUGGCUCUCGCAUCGAUGAAGAACGCAGCGAAAUGCGAUAAGUAAUGUGAAUUGCAGAAUUCAGUGAAUCAUCGAAUCUUUGAACGCACCUUGCGCUCCUUGGUAUUCCGAGGAGCAUGCCUGUUUGAGUGUCAUGGAACUCUCAACCUUCAACGCUUUUGCGAGCGACGAAGGCUUGGACUUGGAGGUCGUGUUGGCGCAAGUCAACUCCUCUGAAAUGCAUUAGUGUGAACCUCACGGAUCGCCUUCAGCGUGAUAAUUAUCUGCGCUGUGGACGUUGAAGUGUUUCUGUGUUCGUGCUUCUAACUGUCCGCGAGGACAAGCAACACUUGACAAUCUGACCUCAAAUCAGGUAGGACUACCCGCUGAACUUAAGCUAUAAAAAAAGGGGG